rnacentral:rRNA from 1 species
GACGAACGCUGGCGGCGUGCUUAACACAUGCAAGUCGUACGGUAAGGCCCUUUCUGGGGUACACGAGUGGCGAACGGGUGAGUAACACGUGAGUAACCUUCCCACAACUUUGGGAUAACGCUAGGAAACUGGUGCUAAUACUGGAUAUGUGCUCCUGCUGCAUGGUGGGGGUUGGAAAGCUCCGGCGGUUGUGGAUGGACUCGCGGCCUAUCAGCUUGUUGGUGGGGUAGUGGCCUACCAAGGCGGCGACGGGUAGCCGGCCUGAGAGGGUGACCGGCCACAUUGGGACUGAGAGACGGCCCAGACGCCUACGGGAGGCAGCAGGGGGGAAUAUUGCACAAUGGGCGCAAGCCGGAUGCAGCAACGCCGCGGGCGGGAUGACGGCCUUCGGGUUGUAAACCGGUUUCAGCAGGGACGAAGCUUUUUGUGACGGUACCUGCAGAAGAAGCACCGGCUAACUACGUG